GACGAACGCUGGCGGCGUGCUUAACACAUGCAAGUCGAACGGAAAGGCCCUGCUUUUGUGGGGUGCUCGAGUGGCGAACGGGCGAGUAACACGUGAGUAACCUGCCCUUGACUUUGGGAUAACUUCAGGAAACUGGGGCUAAUACCGGAUAGGAGCUCCUGCUGCAUGGUGGGGGUUGGAAAGUUUCGGCGGUUGGGGAUGGACUCGCGGCUUAUCAGCUUGUUGGUGGGGUAGUGGCUUACCAAGGCUUUGACGGGUAGCCGGCCUGAGAGGGUGACCGGCCACAUUGGGACUGAGAUACGGCCCAGACUCCUACGGGAGGCAGCAGUGGGGAAUCUUGCACAAUGGGCGGAAGCCUGAUGCAGCAACGCCGCGUGCGGGAUGAAGGCCUUCGGGUUGUAAACCGCUUUCGCCUGUGACGAAGCGUGAGUGACGGUAAUGGGUAAAGAAGCACCGGCUAACUACGUG
rnacentral:rRNA from 1 species